rnacentral:lncRNA from 1 species
AAGCCAGCAAUGAGCUACGUCGGCGUGAAAAUUUAUCCAAGUUCACAGAGUGGAGCUACCUCAGAGAAGAAAAUAGCAAGUCCUCGGCACGAUGAAUUCACUCGGUGUUUUCCUGCUGGUUUCUUCGGCUGUGAUCGCGACAGCAUUCCCAAGACACCGCAGUGCUGUUUACUUGAGCGCGCAGCAACAAGCUAAUCCGGAAAGAGAAAUGCCCACGCUGCCACCAAUUUUUCGCAAUGCGCCAGAUUGGCUGCCAGGGUUUGGAGGACCGCCACCACCAUUUCCCCCUUUCAAUGUCACGGAUGUCAAAAUGCAAAUACCCGAAUUGAUCCCGUCACUUCCAUUUCCGCCCAACUUCGCGGCUAACAGCGAACAACUUCCAUCGAUGCCCAGAUUUCCACCCGUUCCGCCUUUCCAGAAUACUGGCGACAACCAACAUGGAGGGUGGCAAUCGCCGCCGCCAUGGCCACCUGCGCCUGGUAAUGGGGGUGACAACCAAAGCUGGCCAGGAAUGCGAAGCCCACCACCACGGUUUCCUUUAAACUUCAGCCAAAACAUACAGAAAGGUGAAACUGGUUUUUCUUGGCCACCACCUCUCCAUUCCGAAACAAAUGCGGGCCGCAAUCAAAAUUACAUACCUGGAUUUGGAAGCCCACUUCCCUUCCAGAAUGGUGGAGGCCGUGGAAACGAACGGCCCAAUUUUAUGAGAUCGCCGCCACCGUUUCUCAGGAGUACCGAUAACAGCAGUCGAGCCUCCCUAAGCGAUCUUGGAAGUCGACCACCGCUUUCAUUUAUUAAUAGCGAUGGAAACAACCAAAAUGGGAAAUCUGAAUAUGAGGAUGGAACAUCACUCCGUGCGCAAGGUGAUACUGAAGAAAGUGAAGGAGACGAGCAGACAUGGAUGGCCGCAGGAGAACAGCGGUAAAGACAACACCAAUUGUCGGGAAAUAAAGUACUGUCCACACAUUUUUUUAUUUCAAUUUUCAAUACUCUAUAUGACGCAAAGUUUGUUGUACGUAGCAGAAAGUGCUGCAGAAAAGAUCAUAUCAACGGUACCAUAACCGUUUUCAUUAGUGCAUGUAUUUCGCAAAGUUCAAACUAACUUUCUUAACCCCACUAAUGCUCUCCAGCUUCGGAUGACGUAGCACAACUCAUUGCCCCAACUGUCCGGAGACAAGGCCUGAUACGGAACCCAUCCUGUACUCAUGUAACACUGCCAUUACCUCACCUUAAUUUCUUUACCCUCCCCCUCCUUCCUGAAGUAUUUGGCAUCACUCGGACUCGGCGAAUCAUCAACGGGCCU